GUCGGUGAUAUCCAGAAACCGACCCAGCAUAUCAAAAACCGGAAUGCCAACAUUUCUUUCUUUUUAAGUUUUCCCCCAACAAAAUCUCUCACUUUCCCUGAAAAUAAUCCUCCAAAUUAACCAUGACUACCGAACCCGAAACCCGUAACUGGCUGGAGCUUCCUUUGGACGUGACGGCCUCGAUUCUCUCUCGGCUGGGUGCAAUUGAGAUCCUGAACAGCGCCCAAAACGUGUGCUCUCUGUGGCGAAAGAUCUGCAAAGACCCAUUAAUGUGGAGAUCCAUUGACAUGCACAAUUUGGGUGAUGUAUGGGACAUGGAAUAUGACCCCGAGAAGAUGUGCGUUCACGCUGUCGAUCGCAGCUGCGGCCUCUUGGUUGAUAUAAAUCUCGAAUAUUUUGGUAGCGAUGAGCUUCUAAUUCAUAUCGCUGAUAGGUCUAGUCGUCUUAAGCGUCUUCGACUAGUGUCAUGCUAUAAUAUUUCAGAUGAAGGAUUAAAGGAAGCAGCUUUAAAACUUCCAUUUCUGGAAGAGCUUGAAAUUUCAUACUGCUCCAUUUCAAAAGAUGCUCUGGAAACUAUUGGGCGCUGUUGCCCUCACUUGAAAUCAUUAAAAUUCAAUGUUCAGGGAUGUAGACGCUUCCACUUGGAGUCUGAUGAUGAAGCACUAGCUAUUGCGCAAACUAUGCCUGAAUUACGCCACCUCCAACUUUUUGGGAACAAGCUGACUAAUGAUGGCUUGCAGGUCAUUCUCGAUGGUUGUCCUCACCUUGAAUCCCUUGACUUGCGGCAGUGUUUCAAUGUUAAUCUGGGAGGGAACUUGGAGAAAAGAUGUGUUGAACGCAUAAAAAAUUUGCAACGUCCUUAUGACUCAACUCAUGAUUAUGAGUUUGAUGCAGAAGUUUUUGAUACUGGGUCAUCAUAUGAAGAUUACCCAUCUGGAAUUUCUGACAUUGACUUAAUGUCUGAUGAUUACGAUGAUUAUUUUGAGUUCUCAGGGGCCAGUGACUUCUCUGAUUAUGAUGAUGAAUACGUGCUUUUUGACUGAUGGUUUGUCCAUGAAGUAGGGACUACUCCAGAGUAGGAAACCAGGUUAUAAAAGUGCACUGCCUUAUUCGUAAAUAGGAUGAAGAAGAUAAAAUGGAGCUGCAAAUCAAUGAUAUUAUUGCAGUUCAUCAGGUUGCUCUUGAUCAUCAAAUACCAAGGUCUUCUUUGACAUGGAAGGCUGACUUCUAUUGAAUUUUGUUAUUAACAGUGUUCGUGAUUCCUCAAGAAAACAACUGUUGUCCUUCAAGGCACCUUUGUUGUACCUUUUGUUUGGUAUACUCUUCUAUCUAUAAAUAGCUGUUAAUUAAUGUA